CUUCAUUAUGCGAAUUUGUUUAUCUGACUUCGGAAAGAUUGAUGUUCUCUUUUCGAAAUGGAGAAUAGUAUUAACCGGGCAAUUAUAACAAUUUCCAUGGUUUUAUAAAGAUGAGAUUUCAUUUUCCACAGAAUUGUCGCACACAUGGGCAAUGGGGGAGCAUAUUAAAUUUUCAUCAGAAUUGACAAAGGAAUCUGGCGGGAACAAGAAACAACAACAAAGGAGAAAAAUUCAUUUUCAAUCCAUUACCGAAGACACAGAAUAAAGACUAGUAGAACUAGUCUACAAAGAGCCAUCUCAAAUGGAUAGUUUGAUUACCAUUGAAUUCAUCAUGAGGGAUUUUUAUAUGGAACACAUCGCAAGAUCAGACCCAGGCUGAAGAGACCUCGCCUGUCCCCUUCUGCUAGAUAUGAGAAUUUUUCACUUUUUCGAUCGAUUAAUCGGCGAUAACUCGAUCAAUUUCAUAGAUGGAAUUAUGUUGCUUGCAGGUACGGCUUCCUGAAAUCGAAUUACACGCAACUAGCGUAAUAAACCCUUCAGAAAAAAUCCGUUGUGAGAAAACAUGCAUUUUUCUAUUUAAUAAAUCCAUGUAAUAUUCUCAAUAACGUGUUGAAAUUUAUUUGCAAUCCACGAACGAAGAGCCCCCUCAAACCGACAGUUUAUUAAUUAGUAAUUAUUUAUACGUUUUAUUUAAUCAACACGAAAUGUGGCGCAAAAUAAUAUUGAUGAAGGUACAACUGCUCGUAAAAAAGAACGAAUUUGCAAAUAAUACCAAAGUGACAGUAUAAUAUACGUUCAGGUGUGUGGAUGACCGCCGCCGUGUUCGUCUCAUCGGAAAAUACAUCAAGAGUCUCGCAAUAAAGUCGUAAGAAGUCUUGGUCGUAAGGUUCGACGCUGGGCAAAAUCGUAGAUAUGGCUGAUUUUCGAGUCGCCGGGGCGAAAAUUGGACGUCGAAAAAUGAAUUUUGGUAUCAGGAGAAUAUGAUGAGUGAGGAGCCAGGGAAUCAGGAGACUAUACGCAAACUCCCCUAAGUUCAAAAUGGACCCCGCCGCCGGAUUGAACCUGAAUCAAAUUGGCAGAGCAGAUGUUAAUUUAGACGGGUUAAUUAAUAGUAUAUUCGGACGGAUAAAGAGUAUUUAUACAGCAGUGCAUUGAGAAUCGUUUGAAAAUCAACGGUAUGGCACUGCGAGUAUAUCACGUUAUUUUGCGAAUGCUCAACCUCUACUCUAACGAUUGUAUGACAGCUCCCAGACGUUUGCACCAGAUGAGAUUUCUAUGCGUGCUGACACUCAAUUAUACAAUUAGUAAAGUGAAUACUACUGGAAGUAAAUGUCACCAUUUCGGAGUAGAAGAAUCAAAGUGCUACCUCAAGAGCAGAGGGGCUAGACUGACAGCUAGAACAUGGGAUUCAAUCUAGAGAAAUGUCCGAUCAUACUUGGUCGAACUGUAUUUGUCCCAGGGGAGAAUGCAAAGUUGAAACGACAGAGUCCUUGCGGUAUACGUCAGAUGUUAUUAUUACACCUCUGUGUACUUUGACGGACAGUCAGUGCAGAUGUUCACCGGGCCAGGUCCAGCUGCCCAACCCAAGCAUAUCGUUGCUCUACUUUUGGAAACGACAUAGAGAGUUUGAGGGGAAGAAAUCAUACUUCCUAGUACAUGUAUCUACUCAAGAACUGCAGUCAUUCCAUGGAUAUGAAAUGCGGAUCAGUUGGAGACUUGUGGGCCUAUACAAAGAGAAUUAUAACCACGGAAUCCGAGAUGCGUGCAUCAACUUGCAUAGAUCUCAUAACUUCCAAGCAUACUAUUAUGCCAGACAGCGCAUUUCAAAUUAUUCUCAAAUUUUCGAUCAACUAAUUGGCAAUGAAUCGAUCAAUUUCAUGUAUGGAAUUAUUUUGCUUGCAGAUUCGGAUUCCUGAGAUCAAAAUACAUGAGGAUAGCGUGAGGA